rnacentral:misc_RNA from 1 species
UUUCCGUAGGUGAACCUGCGGAAGGAUCAUUAAAGUGGAUGAGAUGGUAGAUUUAUUACUAGUUUAGUUUUUUCUGGACUAGAAAAACAAUUAUUUUAACAAUAACUAUGAGAAUGAUACAUGAGCACCUUGCUGCAAUGGAUCUCUCGGCUCUU